rnacentral:rRNA from 14 species
AUGGCUCAGAUUGAACGCUGGCGGCAGCCCUAACACAUGCAAGUCGAGCGGAUGAAGAGAGCUUGCUCUCUGAUUCAGCGGCGGACGGGUGAGUAAUUCCUAGGAAUCUGCCUGGUAGUGGGGGAUAACGUUCGGAAACGGACGCUAAUACCGCAUACGUCCUACGGGAG